rnacentral:lncRNA from 1 species
AGUGUCCAAAAUAUACUGAGAAUGUUACUAGGUCUCAGAAUGCUGACUAAAGUGUCAAAAGAUUGCCCAGUAAUGGCUAGUGGUGACUCUGGUUACAGGAGGUCAUUAAUCUACUUUGGGUUUUAGUCUGCAUUUUAUGGAAAUUCUCAGAGGUUCUCUAUCCUAUCCUACAAAUGGGAUAAGCAGUUUCGAUAUCUCUUAUAAAGUGCCAGCUAAAACUCAAGAGUGGAUUCACAGCCCCCUGAUGCUGGAAUCACCAGCCUCUGUCAGAACUGCCUUUGAUCUCCAAGCAGGAAUAUGGACUUCAGGGGGUGAAGGCUGAUGUCAUUAUUUGUGUUGGCUUUAAUGCCCAAGUACCAAUGUCUUCCUUACUCUCAAAUGGCUACAAUCUUCACUUACUCAAUAUGAAGGUCUUCGUCUUGUUUAGAAGGUAGUACAGCAAAUUCUCAUAGUUUGUCUCACUUUGGCCUCUCUCUCUCUCUCUCUCUCUCACACACACACACACACACACACACACAUACACACACAUUAUUUUACAGUUAUAACUCAAAGGCCCUUCCUCUGUGACAUCACAAAGCUCUGCCUCCUGAUCUCGGGUUUUGGCCCUGAAGUCUCAAGGAAUGGAAAGCUGCAGACCUAGUAACUGUAAUACUGAGCAAGUAUAUCAUCUUUCAUUAUCAUAAUCUGUGGAUGAUGAUAAAUAAUCCCUUCACACAAACGCAUGAUUAAAGUAAUGCAUUGAUAAUCACAUGCUUUGGUAAAGGUCACCAGUUAGAUGUCUUUUCAUAAGUAUUACAUAAAAGAUGGUAUAUGGCCUUGGUAAAAACAAGAAGGUGUGCAGUAAAUCCUUUCUUAAUCCAUUUCAGAAAUCUACAUCUGGAGUCAAAUUCCACGCAAAAUUUCAUCACUUGGGACUGGAAAGGAGCAAGAGUAAUACCAGGAGAAGGAAGAAGCAUAUUUUUUCACAGAAUAAAUUCUGUGAAGAUAUCACAGGCCCAGCCUUGUCCUGUGUAGAAGGUUUUAUGUAAAGACUGUCCUGGGAGAUGGAGAAAAGAAUGAAAAAGACAGAAAGGGAGAAAGGACAUUUUUCCAAUGGAGAUGGUCUCAUGGUUCCAAUAUUUACUAUCAGAUAUAACUUAAAAGCAAUGGAUAGUAGCUGCAAGUUUUUCAUUGUUGUAAAAAAAAACCUCAGAAGUUGUCAUUUAUUAUAGGCUUCUUUUGCCUACCACAGAAUUUACAGAUUAGUCAAGUGAAGAAUGAGAGGGAACAAAUUCAUUUGUGAUGCUUAUCAGUUAUAAUGUAAGAAAACUGAACAUAGAAAGGUAAAAUUGGAACAAACAACAA